rnacentral:rRNA from 1 species
UACGGAGGGUGCAAACGUUGCUCGGAAUCAUUGGGCGUAAAGCGCACGUAGGCGGCCGUGUAAGUCGGAUGUGAAAGCCCCGGGCUCAACCUGGGAACAGCGCUUGAGACUGGCACGCUCGAGUUCGGGAGAGGAUGGUGGAAUUCCCAGUGUAGAGGUGAAAUUCGUAGAUAUUGGGAAGAACACCGAUGGCGAAGGCAGCCAUCUGGACCGACACUGACGCUGAGGCGCGAAAGCGUGGGGAGCAAACAGG